rnacentral:rRNA from 1 species
GGAAUCUUCGGCAAUGGGGGCAACCCUGACCGAGCAACGCCGCGUGAGUGAAGAAGAUUUUUCGGAUCGUAAAGCUCUGUUGUAAGAGAAGAACGUGUGUGAGAGUGGAAAGUUCACACAGUGACGGUAACUUACCAGAAAGGGACGGCUAACUACGUGCCAA